rnacentral:rRNA from 1 species
CUUGGUCAUUUAGAGGAAGUAAAAGUCGUAACAAGGUUUCCGUAGGUGAACCUGCGGAAGGAUCAUUAUUGAACAAGUUGAGAGGUUGUAGCUGGCUCCUCGGGGCAUGUGCACGCCUUUCAAACUCAUCUCAACCACCUGUGCACCCUUUGUAGACCUAGAAAUGGAUUUCUCAAGGCAACUUGGAUUUUGAGGGUUUUUGCUGGCUUCCUUGAAGUCGGCUUCCCUUGCUGUUUCUGGUGUCUAUGUUUUAUUUAUACACCCUUUUAAAUGUUAUAGAAUGUCUUUGAUGGGCCUGUCGUAAAAAAGCAGCGUCCUUUAAAUAUAUACAACUUUCAACAACGGAUCUCUUGGCUCUCGCAUCGAUGAAGAACGCAGCGAAAUGCGAUAAGUAAUGUGAAUUGCAGAAUUCAGUGAAUCAUCGAAUCUUUGAACGCACCUUGCGCUCCUUGGUAUUCCGAGGAGCAUGCCUGUUUGAGUGUCAUUAAAUUCUCAACCUCAUUUAGCUUUUGUUGAAUGAGGCUUGGAUUGUGGGGGUUUGUGCGGGCUUUUCAAGUCGGCUCCCCUUAAAUGCAUUAGCGGAAAACCCUUGUGGACCGUCUUUGGUGUGAUAAUUAUCUACGCCAUCGCCGUAAGCAGCUAUAUAUAAUGGGAACUUCAGCUUCAAACCGUCCUUUACAGAGAGACAAUACUUAAUUGACAUUUUGACCUCAAUCAGGUAGGACUACCCGCUGAACUUAAGCAUAUCAAUAAGCGGAGGAAAAGAAACUAACAAGGAUUCCCCUAGUAACUGCGAGUGAAGCGGGAAAAGCUCAAAUUUAAAAUCUGGCGGUCCUUGUGGCCGUCCGAGUUGUAAUCUAGAGAAGUGCUAUCCGCGCUGGACCGUGUACAAGUCUCCUGGAAUGGAGCGUCAUAGAGGGUGAGAAUCCCGUCUUUGACACGGACUACCAGGGCUUAUGUGAUGCGCUCUCGAAGAGUCGAGUUGUUUGGGAAUGCAGCUCAAAAUGGGUGGUAAAUUCCAUCUAAAGCUAAAUAUUGGCGAGAGACCGAUAGCGAACAAGUACCGUGAGGGAAAGAUGAAAAGAACUUUGGAAAGAGAGUUAAACAGUACGUGAAAUUGUUGAAAGGGAAACGCUUGAAGUCAGUCGCGUCGUCCGGGGAUCAACCUUGCAAUUUUUGCUAGGGCGCAUUUUCCGGUUGACGGGUCAACAUCAAUUUUGACCGUUGGAUAAAGGCUUUGGGAAUGUGGCAUCUUCGGAUGUGUUAUAGCCCUUGGUCGCAUACAACGGUUGGGAUUGAGGAACUCAGCACGCCGAAAGGCCGGGUUUUUAACCACGUUCGUGCUUAGGAUGUUGGCAUAAUGGCUUUAAUCGACCCGUCUUGAAACACGGACC